UCGAAUGUGGGAUGCCAUUAAUCCUAAAGAAUAACGGCGAAUUGAUCAGUUUGGAUAUGAUUUUUAUUGACGAAAAGGUACUUUCUUACAUGAUUUUUUUUUCAUAUAUCAAUUUUUUUGACUUUUGAUCCUCAAUUCACUUUCGGCUUUCUUAUAUCAAGGAAAUUUGAUGCAUGCUAUAGUUAGAAAGAGUCAUGUUAACAAGUUUAAACACAAGUUGAUUGAAGGGUCUUUAUAUACCACCAAGAACUUUAAAGUCGUAGAAAGUUGUGUGGAUAUAGACCUGUCGAAAGUUCAUUGAAAAUUAUUUUCUUUGCCUCAAUUGCAAUCAAGAAAUUGUCCGAAGAUAUUGGUGAUAUUCCUAUUAACAGAUUUCAGUUCAUUAAACCUGAUAUGAUUGAGUCAAGGGUGCGCAACAACACUAUCUUAUCAGACGUGGUUGGUUGUUUAUGCGGAGUUGGGGAUAUGGAGAGCGCUGGAUCAAAGUGGAAAAAAAGGGACAUCCAAAUUGUUACGGAUUAGUGAGGUUAGCUUCUCCACCACCUCUGCAAGCAAAGUAUAUGCAAAAGUUUUCCACCAUGUCCACGGGAGUGCAAAUUAUCGAAAGCUCUAAUGUUAAUACCAUUCCUAUAGAGGUAGAGAUGUUUUUUAACCGGAUGGACAUUAAGGAGUUGUUAGAGUCUGAUUGGAGUCCUGAAAUACAUGUUAUAUUUUCCUUCUUAAGUUGUUGAUUUCCCAUUUUAGCAAAUCAACCAGAUGUUUGUACUAUAUAAUUGUAUUUUUUUAAAAACAUUUGUAGGAAUAUGUUGUUACUGUAAGGGAAAAAAUUACAGGAAUACAACAUUGUUUUGGCUGGUACUACAUUUCACGCAAUGCGUGUUCAAAGAAGAUUAUAUCCGCAGAUGGUGUAUAUCGAUGCCACCAGUGCAAUAAGGAUUGCAAGUUUCCUUUGGUGAAGUAAGGAAGAAGUACUAUGAAUUUGCUUUGUAUUGUGAUUUAAUCUAACUUAUUAUCUAAACAUAGGUACAAGAUAAACAUAAAAGUGAAAGAUAAAACUAGGGACACUACAGUUGUCCUAUUCAAUGAUGUGGCUGAGAAACUCCUUGAUACAUCAGCUCACAAGUUGUUCAACAAGCUGUCGUUGAGUAACAACAAUGAUGUGCCUGCCCAAAUCAAAAGCCUCUGCGGGAAAGAUUUUAUUUUUAAGCUUAAAUUAAAUAAGUAUAAUUUGAAAGAGGGACUUGAAAAUUUUACAGUAUCCAAGCUUUGGAUUCCAGAUGAGGAUUUGGAAGUACAAUACAAGCUAAGGAAAGAG